GCGCCAUUAGCUCAAUUGGCAGAGCAGCCGACUCUUAAUCAGCGGGUUCGGGGCAAGUCCCUGAUGGCGCA
rnacentral:tRNA from 1 species